UUGUCUUUUAAAUGAAGUCCUGUAUGAACGGCAUAACGAGGGCUUAGCUGUCUCCUUUUUCCAGUCAAUGAAAUUGAUCUUCCCGUGCAGAAGCGGGAAUACCCACAUAAGACGAGAAGACCCUAUGGAGCUUUAGGCACCAGAAUAGACUAUGUUAAUUACCCCCAACACAAGGAAUAAAACUAAUUAACCCCUGUUCUAAUACCUUCGGUUGGGGCGACCACGGGGAAACAAAAAACCCCCACAUGAACUGAGAGCACAUCACUCUCACAACCCCGAGCUACAGCUCAAAGUACCAGAACUUCUGAUCAACAAGAUCCGGCACUAGCCGAUCAAUGAACCAAGUUACCCUAGGGAUAACAGCGCAAUCCUCUUUUAGAGCCCAUAUCGACAAGGGGGUUUACGACCUCGAUGUUGGAUCAGGACAUCCUAAU
rnacentral:rRNA from 1 species